GAGUAAUGCCUGGGGAUCUGCCCAGUCGAGGGGGAUAACUACUGGAAACGGUAGCUAAUACCGCAUACGCCCUACGGGGGAAAGCAGGGGACCUUCGGGCCUUGCGCGAUUGGAUGAACCCAGGUGGGAUUAGCUAGUUGGUGAGGUAAUGGCUCACCAAGGCGACGAUCCCUAGCUGGUCUGAGAGGAUGAUCAGCCACACUGGAACUGAGACACGGUCCAGACUCCUACGGGAGGCAGCAGUGGGGAAUAUUGCACAAUGGGGGAAACCCUGAUGCAGCCAUGCCGCGUGUGUGAAGAAGGCCUUCGGGUUGUAAAGCACUUUCAGCGAGGAGGAAAGGUUGGUAGCUAAUAACUGCCAGCUGUGACGUUACUCGCAGAAGAA
rnacentral:rRNA from 1 species